rnacentral:rRNA from 1 species
AAAGUCCCGCAAGGGAUGAGUAGAGUGGCAAACGGGUGAGUAACACGUGGGUGACCUGCCUCCGAGUGGGGGAUAACGUCCCGAAAGGGACGCUAAUACCGCAUAACAUCCUGCCUUUGAAAAGGUGGAGAUCAAAGCUGGGGAUCGCAAGACCUCGCGCUUGAAGAGGGGCCCGCGUCCGAUUAGCUAGUUGGUGGGGUAAUGGCUCACCAAGGCUCCGAUCGGUAUCCGGCCUGAGAGGGCGGACGGACACACUGGGACUGAGACACGGCCCAGACUCCUACGGGAGGCAGCAGUGGGGAAUUGUUCGCAAUGGGCGCAAGCCUGACGACGCAACGCCGCGUGGAGGAUGAAGAUCUUCGGGUCGUAAACUCCUUUCGAUCGAGACGAACGACCCUUGGGUGAAUAGCCCGAGGGAGUGACGGUACCGAGAGAAGAAGCCCCGGCUAACUCCGUGCCAGCAGCCGCGGUAAUACGGGGGGGGCAAGCGUUGUUCGGAAUUACUGGGCGUAAAGGGCUCGUAGGCGGCCAACUAAGUCGGACGUGAAAUCCCUCGGCUUAACCGGGGAACUGCGUCUGAUACUGGAUGGCUUGAGUUCGGGAGAGGGAUGCGGAAUUCCAGGUGUAGCGGUGAAAUGCGUAGAUAUCUGGAGGAACACCGGUGGCGAAGGCGGCAUCCUGGACCGACACUGACGCUGAGGAGCGAAAGCCAGGGGAGCAAACGGGAUUAGAUACCCCGGUAGUCCUGGCCCUAAACGAUGAAUGCUUGGUGUGGCGGGUAUCGAU